CACCACUCAAGCCUGGCUUGGUGUUGGGCGACGUCCCCUUUGGGGACGCGCCUCGAAACGCUCGGCGGCGUGGCACCGGCUUUAAGCGUAGCAGAAUCUUUCGCUUCAAAAGUCAGGGCCCCGUCUGCCGGAAGACCUACUCGCAA
rnacentral:misc_RNA from 1 species